UGCCCUUAUCAUUUUCUGCUCAGAUGCUGUGGAUGCAGAUGUCUAUGGAUGGAUGUUUUGGUGUCUAAUUCCCCCUUCAUUAAGCCUCACAGCAGUGUGUUUUUAAUCCAAAAAUGCUCAGAUAUUCAGUAAAGCUGCCUUAAAGCAAACACACAUAAUUACAGCUGAGAGCCCUGUAUUGGAGUGUGUGAUUGUAUAUUGCUUGUGUAGAGUGUCAAGCGUGCGUGCUGCACAUUGUGCCUGGAGAGAUUGAUGUUUUGUCAUCCACCUGCUUCUAAGCUGUAAAGGCAAGCGCAGCAAAGGCAAACCUACCCAGCUUCAAAAUCCAAACAAAGAAAUCUUAGUGGGCUGUUUACAUAUCUGUGGAAGGAUAUCUGGGCUUGUGUUGACGGGGUGCUAGAGUGGUUGAGAGAUCAGUCCCCGCACAAUGGACGAGUGGGAAAUCAAAGACUGGAAUGCUGGGGAAACUGACAGAGGGGUGAGCUCUGGAAAGGAGGACGGAUACUUCCUGUUCCUGCUGGAGUGACCCGCAGGUCUGAGGAGGAGUGAGGGAGAGGAAGGCAGAGAAAGCGAGUUUUCUUUGAAGUACCCUGUGUAAACAUACCUCUGAUUGGGACUCACUGAUGUAAUGGACAAACAAGCACAAAAUGUGUCGAUAUCCAGAUCAAAUCUCCCAGGGUUCUUUUACAGUGAUUUGCUGCCAGCUUCACCCUUGGCCAGAGUGCAGUAGUGAAACCGGAAGUGACAGUGCCAGGUUUGGCCUGUACUGUUUCUCUCCUAGUAUUAAUCCAGCAGCCCCUCUACUCUUUGAGAAAGACCUCAUUACCAGCCUCAUUGAUUGUGCUUCCUGCAUCAACGACCACAGCUUCUUCUACCACACCAACUGAGAGAGAGAGAGAGAGAGAAGGAGGCUUAGCCCAGUGCAUCUGUGUGUCCUGCAUUAUGGGUAGGGAGGUAAGCAGUAGGCAGGAGGUUUAUGGUGCUGUAAUUGGUAGUUAGUGUGAUAUUUGUAAGACAAAUAGAGCUAUAUGUGCGAUUCCUCCUCUCUCUCUCCUCUCUAGUCUUUACAGCCACCAAAGGGCCUCAUUAUAGCCCACCGCAGCCCAGGCCUCACUGCACCGCACACACACAUGAAGGGCAGGAAGUUGUGUGUGACAGUGUGGCUGCCAGGACUGAUAGAUGAUACAGUAAGUGUGGUAUUCAUUGAGAGAGGACCCUGACGGUCGGGGGAAUGAAACAGCUCUUCAUUAUAUCGCAACCCGGUGGACGUUUUACACUCACGCUGUGCGCGGCGGGACUGACCGAGUUUACUGUGGUCACUCAUGCAUAUGUGGGGUUCUGAAUUAACUUUUUUACAAGACCUGCCAAUGGUGAGCAAAUCUGGAUAACAACCAUCUAUCACUGUGUUGUUAUUGUUAACUAAAACUAUUAUAUAUUGUUUUUACUUUUUUUUUUUUUUUUUUUUGGUCAUUAAAAUAAAGAUGACAUAAAGUAAAAUAUAAAUAUUAAA
ensembl:lncRNA